ACACUUACCUGGCAGGGGAGAUACCAUGAUCAUGAAGGUGGUUUUUCCAGGGCAAACCUUAUCCUUUGCAUUCCAGAUGUGCUGACCCCUGAGAUUUCCUCAAACAUGGGAAACUUGACUGCAUAAUUUAUGGUAGUAGGGACUGCAUUUGCACUCUCCCUAU